rnacentral:rRNA from 1 species
CAGGAAAACUAAUCUCCCCGAGAAGAAGCGGGGAUAAAUUUAUAAGACGAGAAGACCCCAUGGAGCUUUAAACCCAGAAACACUCCUACUAACCUUACUUUUUAACAUAUGGACUCUGUGAACUGGUUUUAGGUUGGGGUGACCGCGGAGCAUAAAUUAGCCUCCACAAUGAAUAGACUUCUUCUUUAUCCUUGAUUUACUCCUCUAAGAAUUAGUAUUCUAACAUAAAAUGAUCCGAUACUCGAUCAACGAACCAAGUUACCCUGNGGAUAACAGCGCAAUCUACUUCAAGAGCUCCNAUCGACAAGUGGGUUUACGACCUCGAUGUUGGAUCAGGG